AAUGGGGGCAACCCUGAUCCAGCCAUGCCGCGUGAGUGAAGAAGGCCUUAGGGUUGUAAAGCUCUUUCACCCGUGACGAUGAUGACGGUAGCGGGAGAAGAAGCCCCGGCUAAUUCCGUGCCAGCAGCCGCGGUAAUACGUAGGGUGCAAGCGUUAAUCGGAAUUACUGGGCAUAAAGCGUGCGCAGGCGGAUGUUCAAGCCAGAUGUGAAAGCCCCGAGCCUAACUUGGGAAUUGCGUUUGGAACUGAGCAGCUAGAGUCUGUCAGAAGGGGAUGGAAUUCCACGUGUAGCAGUGAAAUGCGUAGAGAUGUGGAGGAACACCGAUGGCGAAGGCAGUCCCCUGGGAUAAGACUGACGCUCAUGCACGAAAGCGUGGGGAGCAAA
rnacentral:rRNA from 1 species